UACGGGAGGCAGCAGUGGGGAAUAUUGCACAAUGGGCGCAAGCCUGAUGCAGCCAUGCCGCGUGUAUGAAGAAGGCCCUUCGGGUUGUAAAGUACUUUCAGUCGUGAGGAAGGUGUUAAGGUUAAUAACCUUAGCAAUUGACGUUAGCGACAGAAGAAGCACCGGCUAACUCCGUGCCAGCAGCCGCGGUAAUACGGAGGGUGCGAGCGUUAAUCGGAAUUACUGGGCGUAAAGGGCACGCAGGCGGUUAAUUAAGUUGGAUGUGAAAUCCCCGGGCUUAACCUGGGAAUGGCAUUCAAGACUGGUUUAGCUAGAGUCUUGUAGAGGGGGUAGAAUUCCGAUGUGUAGCGGUGAAAUGCGUAGAGAUGUGGAGGAAUACCGGUGGCGAAGGCGGCCCCUGGGACAAAGACUGACGCGUCAUGGUGCGAAAGCGUGGGGAGCGAAACAGGGAUUAGAUACC
rnacentral:rRNA from 1 species